UACCCAGAGUUCCUUUCGGUCCAGUCGCGUAGGCUUGAGUUGGUCGACGACAAAAUUUUUUGAAUUGACUGUAAUCAACUGAGCCAACCGGAUGACGGUAAUCGACUUUAGAAACUCAUAUGUGGAUGUACUUUUAUUUCAGGAGUCGUAAUAACCGAUCGAGAAGUAGAGAGUCAAGAAGAAGAAGUCGUAGUCGUGAUAGGAAACCUCGUCCUCAUUCAACAAGUCGAUCACGAACGCGCUCCAAAUCUCGAUCUCGUUCGGGAUCGCGUUCCCGGAGAGGUGGUCCGCGCUCAAGAUCCAUGUCCCGAUCUCGAUCACGCUCUCAUUCAAAAUCACGUUCAGAAAUAAAAAAAAGAGAAAUUGACGCAACAGAGGAGAGAAACGAGAGAUUAUCUAAAUAGUUACGCUUAGAAUCCUUUUUUGAAAAAUGUAUGUCAAGGCGCUUAAGUAAAUGUCAGUUAAGGUUAAAAUCUUCUUUGUUUUGUUAUUUUGGAAUAACGUGUAUUCAUUGUAUUUACAGUUUGCAUAAUAGUUCAACUUUAUCGAUGAUUAUUGGCACUGCUUGAAAUUGAAUUAUAGUAAUAGGGAAACUCUAUAGUAGGAUUAACCUUUUUAAAACAAACUUGUACCUGUAGUCUCCUUUGCAAAAGUGUUGGUCCGAAAUUCCCUCCCCAAUAACGUCUGCUCAAUGGAGCACUGAAUUCC